rfam:Salmo salar isolate Sally breed double haploid chromosome ssa15, whole genome shotgun sequence.
UUGGAUAGGUAUUGUAAGUCGCUCUGGAUAAGAGCGUCUGCUAAAUGACUUAAA